rnacentral:rRNA from 1 species
CCCUUAGAUGUUCUGGGCCGCACGCGCGCUACACUGAACAGUUCAACAAGUCUUAACCUUGGCCGAUAGGUCUGGGUAAUCUUUGAACGCUGUUCGUGACUGGGAUAGACCUUUGCAAUUAUGGGUCUUCAACGAGGAAUUCCUAGUAAACGCAAGUCAUCAGCUUGCAUUGAUUACGUCCCUGCCCUUUGUACACACCGCCCGUCGCACCUACCGAUUGAAUGGUCCGGUGAAAUCUCGGGACGGCGGCUUGGUCGCUUGCGUCCGACUGCUGAAACUUGAUUAAACCAUAUCAUUUAGAGGAAGGUGAANUCGUANCA